AUGGCUAGCGUAUAUCUUUCCCUCCUUCUCUUGCAGCUGAGACAUGAGGUUACUCCCCUGCACUCCACAGUUCUUUCAUCCCACAACGUCAGCCUCUUCCGCCUUCUGGAGGAUAGAAACCGAGCCCUAAAGCUUGAGGUGGCUACCCUUCGCCAGGAGAAACAGCAGUAUAGAACACUGAAAACUAAGCUCCAGGAUGCGUUGCAGGAGAAAAAUCGUCUGAACCUUGAGUUGUCCAGCCACAGCCUGAAGGCAUCCAAGUAUGACCAGGUAAGGUCAGAAUAUGAGCAACUUAGACACACCUAUAGCACUGUGAGUCAGGAGAGAGACUUGGCUCAAGAGGAGAGGAAACAGCUCCAAGGCAAACUGGAGAACCUCGAGCAGGUCCUCAAGGUGAGAAUCCAUCUGCCCGUCCAUCCAUCCAAACAUCCAUCAAUCCAUCCUAGCUCUCCUAAAUUCACUGCUACUUUUCCUCCAACGCAGCCAAUCAUGAGAUAUGGACUAAACAUCAGCUGCACGGUUCUAUAAGGCCUUUGCAAUCUGAUUGGUUUAAGUUAACGUAAGGCCAGAUCACUUGAACCUUUUGUGAAAAUCUGAUUGGACAAAUGCAUCUAUCUACAAAGUCUGUCCUUCGAGUUAUAGAAUACAUAUUGUUUUUACAAUAAAAGCUUGGAAGAAAUUGGUGUAAGUCAUGAGCUUUGUUAUCUGUUUUGCAGGACACCCUUUUUCAUUACACUCUUAUUUGCCAAUAGCAAUCAGCAGUAGUCUCAUAGCAGUGUGAAAAUGCUCUCAUUACAAAUCACUGCUUUCCUCCAUUCCAUAUUGAUUGUCUGUUUGUAAGGAGUGGAUAUGUUUGAGGGAAAAAUGUACCCAUCAAGAGGAAAUUGACUCCUGCUCCUGAAAAAUGAAAGAAGUGUGUGUUGCUUUCUCAUUGCCUAUUUGCCUAUUGAUUUGUACAGAUGGGUAGAUUGCAUGUUGGAGAACAUUAUGGAGAGAGAUGGG
rnacentral:lncRNA from 8 species